rnacentral:rRNA from 1 species
AGCGACUAAGCGUACACGGUGGAUGCCCUGGCAGUCAGAGGCGAUGAAGGGCGUGCUAAUCUGCGAUAAGCGCCGGUAAGGUGAUAUGAACCGUUAUAACCGGCGAUACCCGAAUGGGGAAACCCAGUGUGACUCGUCACACUAUCAUUAACUGAAUCCAUAGGUUAAUGAGGCGAACCGGGGGAACUGAAACAUCUAAGUACCCCGAGGAAAAGAAAUCAACCGAGAUUCCCCCAGUAGCGGCGAGCGAACGGGGAGGAGCCCAGAGCCUGAAUCAGCAUGUGUGUUAGUGGAAGCGUCUGGAAAGGCGCGCGAUACAGGGUGACAGCCCCGUACACAAAAGCGCAUGUGCUGUGAGCUCGAUGAGUAGGGCGGGACACGUGGUAUCCUGUCUGAAUAUGGGGGGACCAUCCUCCAAGGCUAAAUACUCCUGACUGACCGAUAGUGAACCAGUACCGUGAGGGAAAGGCGAAAAGAACCCCGGCGAGGGGAGUGAAAAAGAACCUGAAACCGUGUACGUACAAGCAGUGGGAGCACCCUUUGGGUGUGACUGCGUACCUUUUGUAUAAUGGGUCAGCGACUUAUAUUCUGUAGCAAGGUUAACCGAAUAGGGGAGCCGGAGGGAAACCGAGUCUUAAUUGGGCGUUAAGUUGCAGGGUAUAGACCCGAAACCCGGUGAUCUAGCCAUGGGCAGGUUGAAGGUUGGGUAACACUAACUGGAGGACCGAACCGACUAAUGUUGAAAAAUUAGCGGAUGACCUGUGGCUGGGGGUGAAAGGCCAAUCAAACCGGGAGAUAGCUGGUUCUCCCCGAAAGCUAUUUAGGUAGCGCCUCGUGAAUUCAUCUCCGGGGGUAGAGCACUGUUUCGGCUAGGGGGCCAUCCCGGCUUACCAACCCGAUGCAAACUGCGAAUACCGGAGAAUGUUAUCACGGGAGACACACGGCGGGUGCUAACGUCCGUCGUGAAGAGGGAAACAACCCAGACCGCCAGCUAAGGUCCCAAAGUCAUGGUUAAGUGGGAAACGAUGUGGGAAGGCCCAGACAGCCAGGAUGUUGGCUUAGAAGCAGCCAUCAUUUAAAGAAAGCGUAAUAGCUCACUGGUCGAGUCGGCCUGCGCGGAAGAUGUAACGGGGCUAAACCAUG